CCGGAAUAGCUCAGUUGGUAGAGCAGAGGACUGAAAAUCCUC
rnacentral:tRNA from 2 species